rnacentral:rRNA from 1 species
UACGGGGGGUGCGAGCGUUGUCCGGAUUCACUGGGCGUAAAGGGCGCGUAGGCGGCUGGCUCAGUCGGGCCUGUAAGUGCGGGGCUCAACCCCGUGAUGGGCUCGGGACGGGCUGGCUGGGGCGCGGUCGAGGGAGACGGAAUGCCGGGUGUAGUGGUGAAAUGCGUAGAUAUUGGGAGGAACACCAGUGGCGAAGGCGGCUACCUGGACCGGUUCUGACGCUGAGGCGCGAAAGCGUGGGUAGCAAACAGG